UUUUUAUAUAUGUGUGUCAAGGUUGUUAUUGGUUCACGUUCUGAACCUUAUUGCCAAGGGUUACUUUAUUGUUAAAUACUUUUUGGGACACAUGGAGUGUAAAAUGGACAAGCCACUACUGGUUUGAUAACACUCUGGUUCCCGGAUUGCUUUAUGAAAGGAUGUCAGUGUAACUAUUGGGGCUCAGGUGAAACAGGUGAGGGGUUAACAUCUUUUGGACAAAUUGCCACAAUUUCCACCGUCUUAAUUCCCCUGUAUAAAACGCAUUGGUGUGUUUUCCUGCUCAUGCCAUGUGUUGCUCACCCAGGGCUGUUUUCUGUCCGUUUCCUGGAUCUUGGUAGCAGGUCUGUUUCCUGGAUCUUGGUAGCAGGUCUGUUUCCUGGAUCUUGGUAGCAGGUCUGUUUCCUGGAUCUUGGUAGCAGGUCUGUUUCCUGGAUCUUGGUAGCAGGUCUGUUUCCUGGAUCUUGGUAGCAGGUCUGUUUCCUGGAUCUUGGUAGCAGGUCUGUUUCCUGGAUCUUGGUAGCAGGUCUGUUUCCUGGAUCUUGGUAGCAGGUCUGUUUCCUGGAUCUUGGUAGCAGGUCUGUUUCCUGGAUCUUGGUAGCAGGUCUGUGCUCUCUUGCCAACUUCUUAUGUAAUUGUCAUGCUAAAUGAUGACCGUGGAGUAGGCAAAAGCUCAAAGACCUGGGACCGGGCUAAUAUCUUGGCGCUGAAGUGUAUGAUGACUAUGCCACCUGAUGUACGUACAGCUCUAGAUUCUUUCUCUGGUCUCCAAUGCCUGUCUAGUAUGUACAGCUCUAGAUUCUUUCUCUUGUCUCCAAUGGAUGUCUAGUAUGUACUGCUUUCUCAGCUUUGCUCGCAAGUCCAACCUCUCCAAACACCUGCUUAGACGUUAUAAACCUAAAUGAUAAUGAUGUAUAUUAACAUAACACCUUUUAUGAAACUGUUACUCUCUUCCUCUGGUCUCUCCAAUGCCUGUCUAGUAUGUACAGCUCUAGAUUCUUCCUCUGGUCUCUCCAAUGCCUGUCUAGUACGUACAGCUCUAGAUUCUUCCUCUGGUCUCAUCCAGUGCCGGGUAGAUUAUAGUUAUAAAAUAUCCCCCUCCUUGUAUACUGUCAGGUAGACCCAGCUCUAGAAUUACCCCCAAGGUGCUGUCUCUUCUUCGUUCUCCUUUAGAUACGGAUUUAGAAUCCCCAUCUAACUUCCUGUUUCUCUGGGCUCUGUCAUUGGCCUUCACUGCUUCUGCUGUGAGUGGGUAUGUCCCCACUCCACAAUGUCCAUCAAUCCUGGAAACUUUAAAACUGUCUUGGAUUGGAAUAUAUAUGCAUCGAUAGCCAAUCGGCUGGCUACGGGUGAUAUAUCAUCCUUAUGAAAGAUGAGGCCUGUAGUCUUUCUGAAAUGUCUCUUUGUCUAAAGGAUAGCCUCGCUAUAGCAGCACCUAUGUAAGG